UCUCGCCGACCAAUAGCUGCCGCAGCCGCAGCCGAGGCACUGGAUGCGACCGAGGGGGCGCCUCAGACGAGCCCGUCCGCCACCGGAGAGCACCGGGAACCUCGGCCGCGCGCUGUGCUGGGAUGCGUAAAGCGGCGGCUCUGCGGGCUGAACGACGCGUCGACGGGAUCACAGAAGCCUCCGGCUCAGGUCCGAGCUGCUCGCUGUGCGCGCGUGCGUGUGUGCGCGCCCGCCCGCCCGCCGCGCGCGUGAGUGUGCCCCUCUGUGCGUGUGCGCGUGUGUUCCACGAGGACUAAAAGAAAACGGUCCAAUGACUGCGUGCUCUGUUUUCUUCUUCACGUGAAAAGGCUCAAACUUGGAGCCGUUUGGACGUUGAGUAAGUUGUUUUUUUUUCAUAUCGUUUACUUGAAAGGAAGAAAAAAACCCAACAUUUGAGUCGUUUUACUCGGAGCCCCGAGGUCCAGGACGAGAUGGAGAGCGAAAAGUACUUGCCGGAGCUCAUGGCAGAGAAGGACACGCUGGACCCGUCCUUCCAGCACUCCCUGCGGCUACUGGACCAAGAGAUCGAAAAGCUCCAGAAAGACGAGGGGAAGGAGGAGGAGAAGUUCAUCGACGUCGUCAUCAACAAGAACAUGAAACUGGGCCAGAAAGUUUUAAUACCAGUCAAGCAGUUUCCUAAAUUUAACUUUGUCGGCAAACUCCUCGGGCCACGCGGGAACUCGUUAAAGAGACUACAGGAGGACACUCUCACAAAGAUGUCAAUUCUCGGGAAAGGAUCCAUGAGAGACAAAGAAAAGGAAGAAGAGCUACGGCAGAGCGGCGAGGCCAAAUAUCACCACCUGAACGAAGACCUGCACGUCCUCAUCGAGGUGUUCGCCCCGCCAGCUGAGGCCUACGCCAGGAUGGGUCACGCUCUGGAGGAGAUCAAGAAGUUUCUCAUACCGGAUUACAAUGAUGAGAUCAGACAGGCCCAGCUGCAGGAGCUCACAUACCUUAACGGUGGCUCGGAGGAGGCCAAGGUGCCAUCGGUGAGGGGCAAGUCAGUCGCCCGUGCGAGAGUGACACCUGUUCCGGGGCCUCCCAGGACUCGAGGAGGAGUUCCUUCCCUGCAUGCAGUGGUGCCCCGAGGAGCAGCACCCAGAGGAGCCCCGCUCAGCCGGGCACCGUCCUCCAGAGGGAGGGGGGUGCAGAGAGCCAGAGGUGCCCCGCCAGCUGCCGGGUACCGACCGGCUCCUCCCAUAGUCCAGGACACGUACGGAGAAUAUGAAUACGACGAUGGCUACGGAACAGCAUACGAUGACCAGGGAUACGAAUCGUACGACAACAACUACAGUAAUCAAGGACAAAACUCUGAUGACUACUAUGAAUACGGACACAGUGGGGAAUCAUAUGAUUCAUAUGGUCAGGAAGAGUGGGCAAACAAUCGCGGCAAGGCACCGGCGGCACGAACCACCAAGGGAGUGUACAGAGACCAGCCGUACUCCAGAUAUUGAACUGUUUAUACAACCCGCACCUGAGUCCCCAUGGCUGUUUCAACCCAAGUUGAUGUCCCAGCGAUACCAGACCAUCUAUCCAGUUAUCCCACUGGUGCGAAAGACUUGGCGAACCACACAAGAGCCGUCCUCCAAAAAACAUUCAAGCCUGGACUUUAACAUUCUCACAGUCUAGACUGGGGUUAACUCCUGCGGG